CCUACGGGUGGCAGCAGUGAGGAAUAUUGGUCAAUGGACGCAAGCCUGAACCAGCCAUGUCGCGUGAAGGAUGACGGCCCUACGAGUUGUAAACUUCUUUUGUAAGGGAGUAAUAUCAGACACGUGUGCCUUUUUGUAUGUACUUUAUGAAUAAGGAUCGGCUAACUCCGUGCCAGCAGCCGCGGUAAUACGGAGGAUCCAAGCGUUAUCCGGAUUUAUUGGGUUUAAAGGGUGCGUAGAUGGUUUGUUAAGUCAGUGGUGAAAGUUUGCGGCUCAACCGUAAAAGUGCAAUUGAUACUGGAAGACUUGAGUACAGUUGAGGUAGGCGGAAUUCGUGGUGUAGCGGUGAAAUGCGUAGAGAUCACGAAGAACUCCGAUUGCGAAGGCAGCUUACCAAACUGUAACUGACAUUGAGGCUCGAAAGUGUGGGGAGCAAACAGGAUUAGAUACCCUAGUAGUC
rnacentral:rRNA from 1 species